GACAGACUCAAGGCCGCGAGGCUCGACACACACAGAAAUCUACUUUCUUUUUUCUCGAGCGGGCCAAGGUCUGAGCCAUUCCUUCUCACCCCAGCUGGGUCCCGUCGUCAUCGAUGGCCAGGCCACCAGAAAACAGACAAUGGCCCACAUAUGAGUGCCUCACGGCGCGGGGUUGACGCAGCGAUUGUUUCGCUGCCGAUGCGGAACAUACCCGGAGGGUUGGUCAUCAUGCAGUUGUCUUGGAAGUGCCCAAGAAGAUGGGUGUCUGUUUUAUUCGUAGGUGGCGUGCUUCCAACCUAUGUUCAUCGGUGUCAGAGUGGUCGAGAGCACAGUGCCUCAGCACGUCCUCGGCUACUUAUCCCGGGCGUAGGGGGUCGCUGCAUCUUUGCCACCUUGAUUUUCAGAUAUCAUUGAGUGCAAUUCGCGGCGCUCGGUCCCAGUGGCCGCGCAACUCAAUUCAGACUACUCUUUGUCUGUC
rnacentral:RNase_P_RNA from 2 species